ACGAACGCUGGCGGCGUGCUUCACCCAUGCCAGUCGAACGGAGAGGCCCUGCUUUUGUGGGGUGCUCGAGUGGCGAACGGGUGAGUAACACGUGAGUAACCUGCCCUUGACUUUGGGAUAACUUCAGGAAACUGGGGCUAAUACCGGAUAGGAGCUCCUGCUGCAUGGUGGGGGUUGGAAAGUUUCGGCGGUUGGGGAUGGACUCGCGGCUUAUCAGCUUGUUGGUGGGGUAGUGGCUUACCAAGGCUUUGACGGGUAGCCGGCCUGAGAGGGUGACCGGCCACAUUGGGACUGAGAUACGGCCCAGACUCCUACGGGAGGCAGCAGUGGGGAAUAUUGCACAAUGGGCGGAAGCCUGAUGCAGCAACGCCGCGUGCGGGAUGACGGCCUUCGGGUUGUAAACCGCUUUCGCCUGUGACGAAGCGUGAGUGACGGUAAUGGGUAAAGAAGCACCGGCUAACUACGUG
rnacentral:rRNA from 1 species